GAAUAUUGGACAAUGGGCGAAAGCCUGAUCCAGCCAUGCCGCGUGUGUGAAGAAGGUCUUCGGAUUGUAAAGCACUUUAAGUAGGGGGGAAGGGCAGCAAGCGAAUAACUUGCUGUUUUGACUUUACCGACAGAAUAAGCACCGGCGAAAUCUGUGCCAGGAGCCGCGGUAAUACAGAGGGUGCAAGCAUUAAUCGGAAUUACUGGGCGAAAAGCGCGCGUAGGUGGUUCGUUAAGUUGGAUGUGAAAUCCCCGGGCUCAACCUGGGAACUGCAUCCAAAACUAGCGAGCUAGAGUAGGGCAGAGGGUGGUGGAAUUUCCUGUGUAGCGGUGAAAUGCGUAGAUAUAGGAAGGAACACCAGUGGCGAAGGCGACCACCUGGGCUCAUACUGACACUGAGGUGCGAAAGCGUGGGGAGCAAAC
rnacentral:rRNA from 1 species